rnacentral:rRNA from 1 species
AUCAAAAACAUGGCUUCUUGGUAUACAAGGAUAGGAGGUCUGGCCUGCCCGGUGGAGGUAACUCUAAACGGUCGCAGCUACCACUGUGCGAAGGUAGCGUAAUAGGUCGUCCUUUAAUUGAGGGAAAGUAUGAAUGGUCGGAUGUUGGAAAGACUUUAUUAAGGGUGAAUAUUGAAAUUUACUUUUUAGUGCAAAGGCUAAAAUUCGUUUAUUAGACGAGAAGACCCUGUUGAGCUUGGUAAGUUUAAAUUCUACUGGAUUUAAGCAAUGUUUUUUCGGGGCUGAAAGGAAGGGAAAUUAAUGCCUUCUGUUAUUUAUUGAGAUCCAGCAUGGUUGAAAAGUGGAAGAUAGCUACCACAGGGAUAACAGCGCAAUCUUCCUGAUAAGGCCAUAUUUUAGGGAUGGUUUGCGACCUCGAUGUUGAAUCAGAAUUUCUAUUAGGUGUAGCAGCUUAGUAAGUGGGACUGUUCGUCCUUUAAAAUUCUACGUGAUCGG